ACGAACAGUUGGAAACGAACUGCUAAUACCGCAUACGAUCUAAUCUCGGCAUCGAGGAAAGAAUGAAAGGUGGCCUCUACAUGUAAGCUAUCACUGAAGGAGGGGAUUGCGUCUGAUUAGCUAGUUGGAGGGGUAACGGCCCACCAAGGCGAUGAUCAGUAGCCGGUCUGAGAGGAUGAACGGCCACAUUGGGACUGAGACACGGCCCAGACUCCUACGGGAGGCAGCAUG
rnacentral:rRNA from 1 species